rnacentral:rRNA from 1 species
CCUACGGGUGGCAGCAGUGGGGAAUAUUGGGCAAUGGACGCAAGUCUGACCCAGCAACGCCGCGUGAAGGAAGAAGGCUUUCGGGUUGUAAACUUCUUUUAUGGGGGAAGAGGAAAAGACGGUACCCCUUGAAUAAGCCACGGCUAACUACGUGCCAGCCGCCGCGGUAAUACGUAGGUGGCAAGCGUUUACCGGAUUUACUGGGUGUAAAGGGGGUGGAGGCGGAGAGACAAGUCAGAUGUGAAAUCCACGGGCUCAACCCGUGAACUGCAUUUGAAACUGUGUCCUUUGAGUGUCGGAGAGGUAAUCGGAAUUCCGUGUGUAGCGGUGAAAUGCGUAGAUAUAAGGAAGAACACCAGUGGCGAAGGCGGAUUACUGGACGAUAACUGACGGUGAGGCGCGAAAGCGUGGGGAGCAAACAGGAUUAGAUACCCGAGUAGUC